GAGGGAAGAUGAUCAAGAAAAAGCUGCUAACUUUUAUCUUUAAUGGUUAAAUUCCAUUUAUCCCUUU
rnacentral:tRNA from 1 species